rnacentral:lncRNA from 1 species
GUUUUUGUAUUCGAUCUACGCUACUUUAGCAAUCAGGAUCUAGGCUGCAUUUCUCUUUCUUAUACUCAGUCAUACACACGAAUCUUGUCAUAUUGGACUCCAAAAACCCUACACAAGCUUAUUAUGGCUUCCCCAAGUUUUGUAAGUGAGGACGAAGUCCCUAUGAGUGUUUUUGUAUUCGAUCUACGCUACUUUAGCAAUCAGGAUCCAGGCUGCAUUUCUCUUUCUUAUACUCAGUCAUACACACCAAUCUUGUCAUAUUGGACUCCAAAAACCCUACACAAGCUUAUUAUGGCUUCCCCAAGUUUUGUAAGUGAGGACGAAGUCCCUAUGAG